rnacentral:rRNA from 1 species
GACGAGGGUCCCUAGCGUUGCUCGGAAUUAUUGGGCGUAAAGCGGGUGUAGGUGGCUUGGUAAGUCAGGUGUGAAAUCCCAGGGCUCAACCCUGGAAGUGCAUUUGAUACUGCUGAGCUUGAGUGCUAGAGAGGUUACCGGAAUACCCAGUGUAGUGGUGAAAUACGUAGAUAUUGGGUGGAACACCGGAGGCGAAGGCGGGUAACUGGCUAGACACUGACACUGAGACCCGAAAGCGUGGGGAUCAAAC